ensembl:snRNA U6 U6 spliceosomal RNA
AUUUAUUUCAGUGGCAUAUAGACUAUAACUGGAAGGAUAUAGAGAAGAUUAGAAUCUACUCUGUCCAAGGAUGACACACAUACUUGUGAAAUGUCCUAUAUUUUU